GACGAACGCUGGCGGCGUGGAUUAGGCAUGCAAGUCGAACGGUAGGAUACCUUCGGGUAUCUGAGAGUGGCGAACGGGUGAGUAACACGUAGGUGAUCUACCCUCAAGAUUGGGACAACCCAGGGAAACUUGGGCUAAUACCGGAUGAAAGCAGCAGUGAUGUUGUUUGAAAGGUGGCGUAAGCUGCCGUUUGGGGAUGAGCCUGCGCUCUAUUAGUUAGUUGGCGGGGUAAAGGCCCACCAAGGCGAUGAUAGAUAGGCGGCCUUAACGGGUGGUCGCCCACACUGGGAUUGAGAUACGGCCCAGACUCCUACGGGAGCAGCAGUCGAGAAUAGUCUACAAUGGCCGAAAGGCUGAUAGUGCGACGCCGCGUGAACGAAGAAGCCCUUCGGGGUGUAAAGUUCUUUUAUAUGUGAGCAGUGCUUUCUAUGUGAACAGCAUGGGGAGAGAGAUAUUAGCAUAUGAAUAAGCAACGGCUAACUCCGUGCCAGC
rnacentral:rRNA from 1 species